AUUGAACGCUGGCGGCAGGCCUAACACAUGCAAGUCGAGCGGAUGAAGGGAGCUUGCUCCUGGAUUCAGCGGCGGACGGGUGAGUAAUGCCUAGGAAUCUGCCUGGUAGUGGGGGAUAACGUCCGGAAACGGGCGCUAAUACCGCAUACGUCCUGAGGGAGAAAGUGGGGGAUCUUCGGACCUCACGCUAUCAGAUGAGCCUAGGUCGGAUUAGCUAGUUGGUGGGGUAAAGGCCUACCAAGGCGACGAUCCGUAACUGGUCUGAGAGGAUGAUCAGUCACACUGGAACUGAGACACGGUCCAGACUCCUACGGGAGGCAGCAGUGGGGAAUAUUGGACAAUGGGCGAAAGCCUGAUCCAGCCAUGCCGCGUGUGUGAAGAAGGUCUUCGGAUUGUAAAGCACUUUAAGUUGGGAGGAAGGGAAGUAAGUUAAUACCUUGCUGUUUUGACGUUACCAAAAGAAUAAGCACCGGCUAACUACGUG
rnacentral:rRNA from 1 species